rnacentral:rRNA from 1 species
UACAGGGGGGGCAAGCGUUGUUCGGAAUUACUGGGCGUAAAGGGCUCGUAGGUGGCCAACUAAGUCAGACGUGAAAUCCCCAGGCUCAACUUGGGAACUGCGUCUGAUACUGGAUGGCUUGAAUUCGGGAGAGGGAUGCAGAAUUCCAGGUGUAGCGGUGAAAUGCGUAGAUAUCUGGAGGAAUACCGGUGGCGAAGGCGGCAUCCUGGACCGAGAUUGACGCUGAGGAGCGAAAGCUAGGGGAGCAAACGGG